CUUAUACUUCAUCCGUCUUAAAAUUCUUGUCUUAGCUUUUAUCUAGAAAUGAAUGUAUCUAAAUAUUAAAACGUGACUAGAUACAUUCAUAUCUUGAUAAAUUUAAAACAAGAAUUCUAAGACGGAUGGAGUAUUAG
rfam:Hordeum vulgare subsp. vulgare, WGS project CAJW01000000 data, contig: morex_contig_1570250